rnacentral:rRNA from 1 species
AUAAGGGGAGGGCAAGUCUGGUGUCAGCCGCCGCGGUAAUACCAGCUCCUCGAGUGGUCGGGGCGAUUAUUGGGCCUAAAGCAUCCGUAGCCUGUUCCGUAGGUCUCCUGCUAAAUCCAACUGCUCAACGGUUGGUCCGCAGGAGAUACCGCGGGACUAGGAGGCGGGAGAGGUAGACGGUACUCCACGUGUAGGGGUAAAAUCCUUUGAUCCGUGGAAGACCACCAGUGGCGAAGGCGGUCUACCAGAACGCGCUCGACGGUGAGGGAUGAAAGCUGGGGGAGCGAACCGGAUUAGAUACCCGGGUAGUCCCAGCCGUAAACGAUGCGAGCUAGAUGAUCCGGUCGCAAAUCGCGAUCGGAGUGUCGCAGGGAAGCCGUUAAGCUCGCCGCCUGGGGAGUACGGUCGCAAGGCUGAAACUUAAA